rnacentral:sRNA from 1 species
UAGUUGGAUGAUCUCCUCCUCGGUCAC